UACGUAGGGUCCGAGCGUUGUCCGGAAUUAUUGGGCGUAAAGAGCUCGUAGGCGGUUUGUUGCGUCGGCUGUGAAAACCUGAGGCUCAACCUCAGGCCUGCAGUCGAUACGAGCAGACUAGAGUGUUGCAGGGGAGACUGGAAUUCCUGGUGUAGCGGUGGGAUGCGCAGAUAUCAGGAGGAACACCAAUAGCGAAGGCAGCUCGCUGGGACGUUACUGACACUGAGGCGCGAAAGCGUGGGGAGCGAACAGG
rnacentral:rRNA from 1 species